GGACGGGGGAGUAACACGUGGGUAACCUGCCCUUAAGUGGGGGAUAACAUUUGGAAACAGAUGCUAAUACCGCAUAGAUCCAAGAACCGCAUGGUUCUUGGCUGAAAGAUGGCGUAAGCUAUCGCUUUUGGAUGGACCCGCGGCGUAUUAGCUAGUUGGUGAGGUAACGGCUUACCAAGGCGAUGAUACGUAGCCGACCUGAGAGGGUAAUCGGCCACAUUGGGACUGAGACACGGCCCAAACUCCUACGGGAGGCAGCAGUAGGGAAUCUUCCACAAUGGACGAAAGUCUGAUGGAGCAACGCCGCGUGAGUGAUGAAGGGUUUCGGCUCGUAAAACUCUGUUGUUGGAGAAGAACAGGUGUCAGAGUAACUGUUGACAUCUUGACGGUAUCCAACCAGAAAGCCACGGCUAACUACGUGCCAGCAGCCGCGGUAAUACGUAGGUGGCAAGCGUUGUCCGGAUUUAUUGGGCGUAAAGCGAGCGCAGGCGGUUUUUUAGGUCUGAUGUGAAAGCCUUCGGCUUAACCGGAGAAGUGCAUCGGAAACCGGGAGACUUGAGUGCAGAAGAGGACAGUGGAACUCCAUGUGUAGCGGUGAAAUGCGUAGAUAUAUGGAAGAACACCAGUGGCGAAGGCGGCUGUCUGGUCUGUAACUGACGCUGAGGCUCGAAAGCAUGGGUAGCGAACAGGAUUAGAUACCCUGGUAGUCCAUGCCGUAAACGAUGAGUGCUAAGUG
rnacentral:rRNA from 1 species